UUUUACACCAUUUUCAAUGGAGCUUGAAUUGUUUCAGCGCACCCCUAUACGAUCUUUGGUACUGAGGUCAAGGCCGGUCAUCAAAUCACUUGCACGCCACGCCAGCAUAUAGGUUGCGCAACUUGUCUACAUUUUCUUGAUACCUGACAGACCGCACAUUUGGCAAGUACUUGCACCGUGCUUGCGAUCUGUUGCAGUGUAGCUCCACGGUUGCUGGCUCGCGUUGGACCGUUAAACCAUGAUUAGGUUGUCAAAGUAUGCAGAAGCGGGUCUUCCGGGGGCCCAAAAAGCCCGGUACGUACAGAAACUGGCAAGCAGUGGCUUGGAUAAAGACCCAUAAUAUCGGCGAUUCCAAGGACCUGGAUGCGUCUCCGGCUGUUAUUCCACAAGUAAAGUGGGGCGAUUUGUCUUAUGUUGACACCGAGCCAGCAUACACGUGAGGAAAUGCGAGCAUGGAAGGCAAUGACGGGUUCAGAUAGCUUUAUACAAGCUGGAUCGAUGGUUCCAUGAUAUGCUUCCGUGGUUUUUGCCAGAGAAAAAAGGAAACAUUGUGUCAAGUCAGCUCACAGACGGGGCUAUUUUGCACAGUAAGAUAAGGUCCUGUGUAGUGAGGGGAGGGGAUAUAUUGCCCUUGGCUCAAUAUAGGUCUCUAUUUCUAUUCAAAAAAUUAAAAGAUGGAAGAGGAAACCAUCAGUGUUAAUGAUGCACUGGUGGUAAUGAAAACUCUAACAUUGAAGUUUAGCAACCUUGAAAAAACUAUAUGGAUGCAUGGUUUAUCGGGAAAAUUUGUCCAAAAUCCCAUAAUUCCAGUCCAGCAGACCUAUCACACAAGACUUUCUUCUUAUGAUUUCAGUAAUCAUUUUGUAUUUUUUCUACUUCUUUGUAGCCUUCGUGAGGCAUGUUCACAAGUGGCAGCCCUGAUCUCAUGUGUCGUACGUGCAAACGAGUACAGGAGAAUGACCAGUGUGGAUGCUUGCACGUCCCAGAAAUGUUUCGGCUGCUGAGAUCAGUGCUAUAGACUAUUUAUAGACUAUUUACAAGCCCUGCGACAAAAAGGAAGAAGGGACAGCAAUCAGAUCAUACACAGGCUUGCAAGAGAGACAUAACAAGGCCAACUGCAGAUGAGCUUGCAACCUUCCACCGGGCCGGGCCAUAGCACCAACCGAGCCAGUUCUGCACCACAUUCUGGAUGACUAUGCUGGGGAGUUCAUAGUCUUGAGUGCCACUGACAUAUUACCAAGCAGCCUUUACAAUCCAGAUGCCCUUAAAUGG